GGAGGCGCGGAGGCGCUGCAGACAAAGAAUGCGCUUCGUGCGCCCGCCCGCGCCGCCCCGGGCGGAGAGGAAGCCGGGCGUGUGCCGCCGCGGCGGGACGGUGGGACCGAUGAAGAGACGGAGGCUUAGAGUGUCACAGAGUGAGCCAGGAAGACUCCGGAGUCUCCUGAACUCAUCCAAGUCUUGCCAAGGAGCCUCAUUUUCUGGAAAUGCCCCGCUCUGGAGCUGGCCCAGUGUCCCACUCUGGACUCAUUGCCUGGAAGUCCCACUGCCCCCACCCCUUCCCUUCCAAAUCCUGCCAAAAUGGUAAAGUGCAUGAUAGGUAAAAAUAGUUCAGGUGGAUUUCCCUGGUGGUCUAGUGGCUAAGAAUCUGCCUGCCAAUGCAGGGGACCCGAGUUAGGUUCCUGGUCCAGGAAGAUCCCGCAUGCCACAGGGCAGUAAGCCCGUGAGCCACACCUACGGAGCCUGUGUGCCUGGAGCCGGUGCCCUGCAACAAGAGAAGCCACCCACAGAGAGAGCCGCCCCUACUAGGCCGCAACUAGAGAAAGCCUGGGCUCAACAGCAAAGACCCAGGCCAGCCAAAAAGAAG
ensembl:lncRNA